UUGGGUGUAAAGUGCGUGUAGGCGGCUUGGUAAGUCGGGUGUGAAAUCCCGGGGCCCAACCCCGGAACUGCAUUCGAAACUGCCUCGCUAGAGUCUCGGAGAGGAAGGCGGAAUUCCCGGUGUAGAGGUAAAAUUCGUAGAUAUCGGGAGGAACACCAGCGGCGAAGGCGGCCUUCUGGACGAUGACUGACGCUGAGACGCGAAAGCGUGGGGAGCAAAACAGGAUUAGAUACCCUGGUA
rnacentral:rRNA from 1 species